ACCACGUUGUCUUUCCCGUCCGUCUCUGUACUCUUUCCUUUUUCUUUAUCAGAUCGAUUGUCGUCAACAUGAUUGCUCAACGUUGAAGAUGCAAUGCAAAGUCUCGUUUCCAGAUGAUGGCUAUAUGCUAUCUGGCCAAAGAUCGCAUGCUUAUGAUGUUGCAGACUGUGUUAGCUGUUCAUUGGAAAGAAAUCCUUGCAAUUUUCCCAAGAAAUCUUUAUUUUGCAUACAGUUUCAGUUUUUUUGGCCCGAGAAGCUCGCAGUACCAAGUUUAUCCUACACAUUUGGUGGUUGCUGUUUCGGGCUUGGAAGUUAUUUCCGUUUAGGUUUAUGGAGAAUCUAUCGGUGGAAGUUGUUGGAAACAUAUUGUCACGGCUCGGGGGAGCCCGGGAUGCGGUGAUAGCUUCUGCAACAUGUAGGACAUGGCGUAGGCAUGUCGAAAGCACCUUCAUACGCUUUCGUUCAAUUCCAGUCAUUGGCCAUUUUAUCGAGAACUCACAACCAAUUGGUUAGAAAUCCUUAUAACUCAAACGAUAUGAUGGACGUCGCCAACAAGUUUUCUGCCUCCACCGUUAUUGCUUGGCUCUUGUAUACAAGAGAAACCUUGCGAAGAUUGUCCUAUAACGUCCAGACUACCCCAAUUGUCAAUAUUCUUGACAUUUGUGGGCGGCAAAAGUUAGAAUCUUUUACGUCUUGCCCAUAAUUCAGUUACUGGGGUUGAACCAAACUUCCAGGUAUUCCCUUGCUUGAAGUCCCUUUCUUGGAGUUACGUCUGUAUUUCGGCAUUGGAUUUAAACCUUUUGCUCAGUGCUUGCCGGAAUAAAGCUCCUCUGAAUUCCUCGUGGGGAAAUAUAUUCAUGUUGAGGUACAAUUCGAGUACGAAUAAAGCUUCUCUGAGUUCCUCGUUUACUUAUUUUCUAGCUAAAUGCCUAGUUGAUUAAAGCCCUCGUUCUGAUUUUAAUGCAUACGCAACAUUAUUUCUCUGUUCUUCACCCGCGAUCGCAGUACUUGUUAGUCUUGUUUCCCAGUUUUCACGUUUCAGAGAUGCAUUAGUCAUACCGAUCCAUCAGAGUGGCAAUCUUUUACAUUAGUUUGAGGUGUUGAUGCAUUUGCUUGCCAUGGAAUAUGCUUCUGUGACAUUUUCUGCAGGUUUCGUUCGAUCGUUCAAGACUUUUAGGCGGCUUGCUUUCAUCUUCUAACAGGUUUUUUCUUUUCAUAUAUCGUCUCGACAUCAUCUUUGUAACCCAUAUUUUCUUACUUGUUUUAGAAACUUCGUCGGAUAUUUGCCUAAUCUCACCAGCAAUUUCAUGUUCUUGACCUGCUGAGUGAAGAUAACAACUUUGUACAUGGUGGUGAUCAGAUGAGUUCCUCUUGAGCUAUUCAUUGUCAUCAAUUUAUGUAACCUUUUUUCAAUUCCUCACAAUAUCAAGAGAGCGGCCUUUGUGUUGUGUAAUGUCAUGUAAUGUUUGUUCUGAUCCUUUCACCAAACAAGACAGAAGAAGCUUGCCCAGGUAAUGAUGUUCAUGAACAUCUCAUGGUUGUUGACCCUUGUGCUUUUUGUAGUUCGUACUUCGUACUGGUACGGCUCCGAAUCAUUUUUUUUUUCUUCAGAAGGGUAAAAUUCAGUGAAUACAGAUAUUGGAGGAGAAGAGAGAUUAGGGUUUGUACAAUCUUUGCAGAGUUCUGUCUGUCUGAAUGCGGGUCUCUCUGGUUU